rnacentral:lncRNA from 1 species
UUUGACACCAAAGCAACAUGCUCUUUUUAUAGAAAUGGCCAAUUCCGAAGGAAAAAACACCCCAUUCUCUGCCUCUGCAAACCGAAUGAUUCAGAUUCAGACGCUCCUCCACCUCCGCCUCAAGGAGACAGCCGUCAGCAGGAACUACUUGCGAGGAUUGCCCAGCUUCAAACUCAGAAAGUUCGGCUUACCAACUACUUAGACGAAAGAUCUGCUUACCUGUCCCAGUUUGCUGAAGAUGCCAAUGCCGAGAUUGACCAGAUAGGGGAAAAUGCCCUCAAAGAGCUUGAUGAAGCUGGUGCAAGGGUCUGCACUCAACUGCAUAACCAAAUCAUACAGAAAGUGGAGUUCAGUUUUCAUCUCUCAAUUACACAGUUCUUGAUUUGUUCUUUUUUUCUUUCUUUGUGGAACAGAUAAUGGAAAAUAUAGAGAGCCGGAUGCAAGCUUUUGAAGAAUCAAUAGAGUUAAACAAACAGGAGAUAGAGGAGAACGAGAAGAAGUUGGCGGACUUUGAGGGCCAAAUGGAGGAAGAGAGAAAUGAAGGGCUUCUCUUCAAGAACUUAGGGCAAAAACAAUAAGUGGAUAAAGCAAAAGCUAAGGAGGAAACUGACAAGAUUAAGCAAACUCAGUAAAGAAACUGCUGAGUCAAAGACUAGAAGGAAUAUCUACCUUGCACUUAUCGGUGUUGUAGUAGUUGGAAUUACGAGUGCCUUAAUCUCUUCACCUUCUGACAGGACAAAGAGUGCAGUUCUUGGAGCGAUCUUGGUG